rnacentral:misc_RNA from 1 species
GUGGUGGAGGGAGGGUGUGUGUGAGUGUGCGUGGCGGUGCUGCUGGUGUUCCCCGCUUGCCUACCUUCCUACCUGCCUUCCCUCACACCUGAGCUGUCUACCUCACGUGCUCUUGUAGCUUCCUUUCUGGUGGCGGUGCUGGUGCGGGGCCGGUGUAGCUUCCCCUGUAUAUAGUCUGUAGCCAUAGAGACGGGUUUUUCAUCUCGCCACGCUGCCUCCCAUGUAAGGAACCGGAUCUCACCUGGAUGUAUCUGGGCCGCGGCGAGGGCGGCUAGAGUGCAGUGUUGUCGGCUGUGGUUGAGGUGGGUCGUUUCAGGCGAGAUGGCAUCGGUGUGUAGAGCGGAACAAAGUGGUGGCGGGCGGUGGAGCCUCACCUGCCGAAGCUCCGCCGAGUAGUAAUCUUUCCCUCAGAAGAUCUCGUCCCGGAGACCGAUGACCAGGGCACUCGAGGGACAAAGCUCGUGAGUGUCGUGACCUGUGGAAGAGCGAGACGCUGGCCGGCUGUCGGCGGUGGGUCGGCAUGAUGGGGUGAAUCGGCCGGGACCUUGCAAUACCGCCAGCUGGGCGGGGCCGGGUCAUGCAGUGCGGGACGGGGUUCCCAAGGCAAGGGGGCAGGGGGGCCGAGGUCGGGGGGAGUGGCCGGGGCCCUGACGGAUGGUGAUCCCAUGUAUGCUGCUCGUGGCGGCCCCAAGGGGGAUGUCUGCCACCCCAGUAGCGCUCCAGGGGCACGCCUCCCCCCGGCCAGCAUGCAGGCUCCGGCAUCAGCCCGGAGUCUGCCUGGGUCUGGGGGCGGCGCGAACCCUUCCGGCCACCUGACCAAACCCUCGCCCCGCUCCCUUCACCUGCAGCAGCUGCCGUCGCGCUUCACCCGGCUGGGGAGGUCCCCGGACGUCGAGAAGCCUGACCGAGUGUGGACGGUGCGGGGCGAGACUGGUACUGGGCCACCAGGUCCAAAUGACGUCAUCAUUACUGACAUCUGCCUCAACCACAAUCCUGAGCUGAGCCUCAACACCAGCUCCGUCAGAUCCCGCCAACAGCCUGACACCACCUCCGCCAUUCAGCAGUUGUCUGUUGUUGACCUACAAAAUCAGUUGAGCCAAGGGCCCUUUACCUCACGCCAAGCAGUGGCCCAGACAAACACGCUCCCACGUGAGGUACCAAGGUUAGGAUGCAGCUUCUUCGGAGUUGCCCGAGCCUUCUUAGGUCGCAUGGUGACGCAAAUUUGUAGCGGCGAUCUGUGUGGCGGCCAGGGGGCGGCGCGCCAGACCGACCCAGAGAGAGAGGAGGUGGAGGAACCCGUGAACCACCAACAGGCUGAACAAGUUCCCGAGGGACCACAAGACACUACGCAGCGAGUGGUGGACACGCAGGAGACGCCUCGCGGAUACGACAACCCAAUAGCGUCCCCGCCGACCACCGCCUCGGGCAUCAGAAUGACUCCGGAGGUAGUGGUGACGCCCGAGAAGAGCGGCAGGAAGUCUCAAGCGUCGUGGGCGAUGCUAAGCGACCUGGUGAGGCUGCAGCACUCAGCACUCCCCACCUCAUCUUCCUCAGCGGACGUCGUGUACAGCAGUCCUGGGGCCGCCUCUCACCUGCAGGUUCCUCAAGAGGGUGGCGGGGAGCUCCGUGCCGUUAGAUCUCUGCUGGAUAUACAGAGGGAGAGAGAGCGCGCACAGCUUCAUCCCGCCCGGUACCUGGAUGAUCUACGGGUCCUCUACAACAUUCACAGGCGGGAGCUGGUGUCACAGCUGGUGUACCGAGAGGCAGGCCAGAUCUUCCAGCGGGAGGGGGCGGCGGGAGAGCCACCGCCCUGCGCCGCUUGAUUGCAGCCCCCACGCGCACCGUCACCGAGGAGGACCUCAAGACGCAGGAGUCGAGAAAGAGACUCAUUAGGAAGAUAGCCUCCCUGCGGCCUGUAGUAUCCCCUCGUGGGCUGGAACCGGAGCCGUGCUGGGAAGAGAGUGAGUUCGUGCUGUCGUGCCUUCAAGCCCACAACCUGUACCGUGCCCGCCACUCCUCCCCGCCCCUCACUC